UACGUAGGGGGCAAGCGUUGUCCGGAAUCAUUGGGCGUAAAGAGCGUGUAGGCGGCUCGAUAAGUCCGCUCUGAAAGCCCCGGGGCUCAACCCCGGGAGGCGGGCGGAUACUGUCGAGCUAGAGUCCGGAAGAGGCGAGUGGAAUUCCUGGUGUAGCGGUGAAAUGCGCAGAUAUCAGGAGGAACACCAAUGGCGAAGGCAGCUCGCUGGGACGGUACUGACGCUGAGACGCGAAAGCGUGGGGAGCAAACAGG
rnacentral:rRNA from 1 species